GGCUGGGUCAGAAACUUCGCCGCCACAUCGACACCCUGUCGCCAUCGUGGUUCGAGGACGACCUCCGCCGCUGCCACCGGAUCGGCCCGAUCCUCCAUCCAUUGCCGGCGAGCGAUGCCGCCAGCAGGUCGGCCCUUCCUGCAUUGCGGGCAACCGCCAUUGCCACCAGAUCUAGCUGCCGAAGCAACGCAGCGCCCAAGAAAUCCCCCACGCCGCCGCUCCAGCGAGCACGCGAACAAGCCGCCGCGUCCACAUCCACAAGUCACCACGCCGCCCUCCAUCUAGCCCACGGCCACCGCCUAACACGGCCGAUCACGAUGCCGCCGUCUACACCAGCGACUACGCCGCCUCCACGUCGCACGCGGCCACUGCCCACAUGCUCGAGCGCUCCGCCGCCACCUCGACAACGUCCGUUGCCUCCUCCACACCGGAGGCUUCAUCCGUGGACCGUGCGCGACGUCGCCGAACACCCUCUCCUACACAGAGCCGCCGUCGACGGCAUGCCACACGACGGCCUGUUCGAUUUGUGGUUUACUUCCAAGUGAAUCCAACAAGUGAUUAGGUUCAAUAAAGAUGAAGCAAGCAAUGUUGGUCCCCAGGCUCUAAAUCUGAAGCUUCCUUUUGGUGAGAUAGAUGUGAUGGAGGAGAACCUGGAGCAGAUCAGGAGGAACCUGGGUCUUGAGCAUGUCAAGGUUCUGAUGAAAAGUCAUUGUUGAUGUCGUUGACGUGAAAUGUGAGCCUAAUUCUAAGAUGUGAUCGUAUUGACGUGAAAUGUGAACCUAUUUCUAAGAUGUGAUCGUAUUGACUUGAAAUGUGAACUAAUUCUAAGAUGUGUCAA